AUUGAACGCUGGCGGCAGGCCUAACACAUGCAAGUCGAGCGAGCGGCGGACGGGUGAGUAAUGUCUGGGAAACUGCCGGAUGGAGGGGGAUAACUACUGGAAACGGUAGCUAAUACCGCAUACCAUCAGAUGUGCCCCGAUGGGAGUAGCUGGUGGGUGGGUUAACGGCGCACCUAGGCGACGAUCCCUAGCUGGGCUGAGAGGAUGACCAGCCACACUGGAACUGGAACACGGUCCAGACUCCGACGGGAGGAAGCGGGGGGGAACAUUGCACAAGGGGCGCAAGCCUGACGCAGCAAUGCCGCGUGUGGGAAGAAGGCCUUCGGGUUGUAAAGCACUUUCAGCGGGGAGGCGUUACCCGAAGAAGAAGCACCGGCUAACUCCGUGCCAGCAGCCGCGGUAAUUC
rnacentral:rRNA from 1 species